rnacentral:tRNA from 1 species
UCCCUGGUGGUCUAGCAGCUAGAAUUUCUGGUUUUAAUCCAGGCUACCCAGGUUCAACUUCUGGGCAGGGAA